GACGAACGCUGGCGGCGUGCUUAACACAUGCAAGUCGAACGGAAAGGCCCUGCUUUUGUGGGGUGCUCGAGUGGCGAACGGGUGAGUAACACGUGAGUAACCUGCCCUUGACUUUGGGAUAACUUCAGGAAACUGGGGCUAAUACCGGAUAGGAGCUCCUGCUGCAUGGUGGGGGUUGGAAAGUUUCGGCGGUUGGGGAUGGACUCGCGGCUUAUCAGCUUGUUGGUGGGGUAGUGGCUUACCAAGGCUUUGACGGGUAGCCGGCCUGAGAGGGUGACCGGCCAAAUUGGGACUGAGGUACGGCCCAGACUCCGACGGGGGGCAGCAGUGGGGAAUAUUGCACAAUGGGCGGAAGCCUGGUGCAGCAACGCCGCGUGCGGGAUGACGGCCUUCGGGUUGUAAAACGCUUUCGCCUGUGACGAAGCGUGAGUGACGGUAAUGGGUAAAGAAGCACCGGGUAACUACGUGC
rnacentral:rRNA from 1 species